UAUCGAUUUAGCCGACCUACAUGGUGUGAAGUGAGAGAAUAUCCACCGUUGAAUGUCAGAGCAUGGUAUAAGAGUUUCUGACCUGAAUAAUUCCACUGACAUCGCAACGUUGGAUGCUGGAUGAUUACAGAGAUCCCAGGAUCUCCUCAAAAUUCUGGUUUCAAAAUGAUGCAAGGACAAAGGUUCAAAACUUCGUGUGCAAGAAUCCAUGCGACGUCUGGAUCCACCGGGAAUUGUCCGCACACUACAACUACAAACUGUUCGGCGUAGAAGAUAUUCUGUGCCAGCCCCCAACAGUCAAAGGCAUAUCUAUGGCAACCAUAAACUCAAAAAUUAAGGCUCUAUGUUGGGGAACUAGGAAGGAAGUACAAAAAUAAAUUAAGACCAUAUUUUUUUCACCCAUUUUGGAAAGGUAAACCCGUAUAUAAUAUAGACCAUAUUAAAUUAAGUUUAAAUAUUUCAUGCUUUUAUUUUUUAUUACGCGCUAGGAAUCAAUUGUGAUUGGGAGUGCUUUCGCUGCCAGCCUCUCCCAGCAAAAUGGAUUGGGUGUCAAGCGCUGUCAAUGGCAGCCAAUGAGUUAAAUGAACGACUGAACGGGUUAAGUCUAAUGGCAAAAAUUCAGAACUUCCACUUUAAGGUUAUGUGUAAAACGACCUAAAAGUAACAUCUGAGUGUCACCCUUUCCAUUUUGCAGUCUUGUCCAUUGUCCUCAACAAUUUUUUCCCCCUUCUUAAUAAUAUUAUAUAAAUAAACACUUUCACAGUUUAGGCACAUACAAGUUAAGCUAAUCAAUAAAUUUGCCAUAUAGGAUGUGUGCAUGCUUAGUUAUAUUUCAGGACUAGUUGGUUCAACUUUACAUUACAUAUUUGGAGUUUUAUGUGAUGGUCCACAUGGUCAUCACCCCCAUGUAGGUGUCAGUCCCUGAAGUGCAGCUGCAACAAGCCUUGACUCCUGAAGAAAUUCAGCAGAUGUCAGAAUUUUCUAAUUUAUUGAAUGUCUACAGCGAGACCAUCAAUCCUGCAUCAGAUAUUUGGACUUGUUUGAAAUGACAGCAUAGCAUGUUGGUUGUGGUUGAUGUGACAGUACUUCACCAAUGUGCAGAA